rnacentral:rRNA from 1 species
AGUGAACGCUGGCGGCAGGCCUAACACAUGCAAGUCGAGCGGCAGCGCGUCCGACCACCCUCGGGUGGUCGGAUGGCGGCGAGCGGCGGACGGGUGAGGAAUGCAUCGGAAUCUGCCUCGUUGUGGGGGAUAACGUAGGGAAACUUACGCUAAUACCGCAUACGACCUACGGGUGAAAGUGGGGGACCUUCGGGCCUCACGCGAUGAGAUGAGCCGAUGCCGGAUUAGCUAGUUGGCGGGGUAAAGGCUCACCAAGGCGACGAUCCGUAGCUGGUCUGAGAGGAUGAUCAGCCACACUGGAACUGAGACACGGUCCAGACUCCUACGGGAGGCAGCAGUGGGGAAUAUUGGACAAUGGGGGCAACCCUGAUCCAGCCAUGCCGCGUGUGUGAAGAAGGCCUCGGUUGUAAGNACUU